GCUGGGCGCGAUGGCUCACGCCUAUAAUCCCAGCACUUUGGGAGGCUGAGGUGGGUGGAUCACCUGAGGUCAGGAGUUUGAGACCAGCCUGGCCAACAUGGUGAAAACCCAUCUCUA
ensembl:misc_RNA Metazoa_SRP Metazoan signal recognition particle RNA